CCUGGCCUUGACAUACUAAGAACUUUCCAGAGAUGGAUUGGUGCCUUCGGGAACUUAGAUACAGGUGCUGCAUGGCUGUCGUCAGCUCGUGUCGUGAGAUGUUGGGUUAAGUCCGCAACGAGCGCAACCCUUUUCCUUAUUUGCCAGCGGGUAAUGCCGGGAACUUUAAGGAUACUGCCAGUGACAAACUGGAGGAAGGCGGGGACGACGUCAAGUCAUCAUGGCCCUUACGGCCAGGGCUACACACGUGCUACAAUGGUCGGUACAAAGGGUUGCUACCUCGCGAGAGGAUGCUAAUCUCAAAAAGCCGAUCGUAGUCCGGAUCGCAGUCUGCAACUCGACUGCGUGAAGUCGGAAUCGCUAGUAAUCGCGGAUCAGAAUGCCGCGGUGAAUACGUUCCCGGGCCUUGUACACACCGCCCGUCACACCAUGGGAGUUUGUUGCACCAGAAGUAGGUAGUCUAACCGCAAGGAGGACGCUUACCACGGUGUGGCCGAUGACUGGGGUGAAGUCGUAACAAGGUAGGCGUAGAUGA
rnacentral:rRNA from 1 species